rnacentral:rRNA from 1 species
GAGUUUGAUCCUGGCUCAGGACGAACGCUGGCGGCAUGCUUAACACAUGCAAGUCAAGGGGUAGCAAUACCACUGGCGCACGGGUGAGUAACACGUAGGUAAUCUGCCCCUAUCACAGACAUAACUCCGGGAAACCGGUGCUAAUAUCUGAUGAGGUCGUGAGAUCAAAGCUUCGGCGGAUAGGGAUGAGCCUGCGGCUGAUUAGCUAGUUGGUGAGGUAAUGGCUCACCAAGGCUACGAUCAGUAGCUGGUCUGAGAGGACGAACAGCCACACUGGAACUGAGACACGGUCCAGACUCCUACGGGAGGCAGCAGUGAGGAAUAUUGGUCAAUGGGAGCAAUCCUGAACCAGCAAUGCCGCGUGUGGGAUGACAGGGCUCAGCCUUGUAAACCACUGUCGGAUGGGACGAAAAGGUGCUUUAAGCACCCGGGACGGUACCAUCAAAGGAAGGGUCGGCUAACUACGUGCCAGCAGCCGCGGUAAUACGUAGGACCCAAGCGUUGUCCGGAUUUACUGGGUAUAAAGGGUGCACAGGCGGUCAGGUGCGUCAGAAGUGAAAUAUCCGGGCUUAACCCGGAGGGUGCUUUUGAUACGGCUUGACUUGAGUCCGAGAGAGGAUGAUGGAAUUCCUGGUGUAGCGGUGAAAUGCGUAGAUAUCAGGAGGAACACCGGUGGCGAAGGCGGUCAUCUGGCUCGGAACUGACGCUCAGGCACGAAAGCGCGGGGAUCAAACAGGAUUAGAUACCCUGGUAGUCCGCGCCCUAAACGAUGUAUGCUUGGUGUUGGGUUCUUCGGAACU